rnacentral:rRNA from 1 species
GGACAGAAGGGAGCUUGCUCCCGGAUGUUAGCGGCGGACGGGUGAGUAACACGUGGGUAACCUGCCUGUAAGACUGGGAUAACUCCGGGAAACCGGAGCUAAUACCGGAUAGUUCCUUGAACCGCAUGGUUCAAGGAUGAAAGACGGUUUCGGCUGUCACUUACAGAUGGACCCGCGGCGCAUUAGCUAGUUGGUGAGGUAACGGCUCACCAAGGCGACGAUGCGUAGCCGACCUGAGAGGGUGAUCGGCCACACUGGGACUGAGACACGGCCCAGACUCCUACGGGAGGCAGCAGUAGGGAAUCUUCCGCAAUGGACGAAAGUCUGACGGAGCAACGCCGCGUGAGUGAUGAAGGUUUUCGGAUCGUAAAGCUCUGUUGUUAGGGAAGAACAAGUGCAAGAGUAACUGCUUGCACCUUGACGGUACCUAACCAGAAAGCCACGGCUAACUACGUGCCAGCAGCCGCGGUAAUACGUAGGUGGCAAGCGUUGUCCGGAAUUAUUGGGCGUAAAGGGCUCGCAGGCGGUUUCUUAAGUCUGAUGUGAAAGCCCCCGGCUCAACCGGGGAGGGUCAUUGAAAACUGGGAAACUUGAGUGCAGAAGAGGACAGUGGAAUUCCACGUGUAGCGGUGAAAUGCGUAGAGAUGUGGAGGAACACCAGUGGCGAAGGCGACUCUCUGGUCUGUAACUGACGCUGAGGAGCGAAAGCGUGGGGAGCGAACAGGAUUAGAUACCCUGGUAGUCCACGCCGUAAACGAUGAGUGCUAAGUGUUAGGGGGUUUCCGCCCCUUAGUGCUGCAGCUAACGCAUUAAGCACUCCGCCUGGGGAGUACGGUCGCAAGACUGAAACUCAAAGGAAUUGACGGGGGCCCGCACAAGCGGUGGAGCAUGUGGUUUAAUUCGAAGCAACGCGAAGAACCUUACCAGGUCUUGACAUCCUCUGACAACCCUAGAGAUAGGGCUUUCCCUUCGGGGACAGAGUGACAGGUGGUGCAUGGUUGUCGUCAGCUCGUGUCGUGAGAUGUUGGGUUAAGUCCCGCAACGAGCGCAACCCUUGAUCUUAGUUGCCAGCAUUCAGUUGGGCACUCUAAGGUGACUGCCGGUGACAAACCGGAGGAAGGUGGGGAUGACGUCAAAUCAUCAUGCCCCUUAUGACCUGGGCUACACACGUGCUACAAUGGACAGAACAAAGGGC